GGCACCAGUUUAAAGUCCAUCCACUUGAAGAUUUCUGGCUUGACCCCUGACACAACCACAGCUGUACACAUCACUGAUACCACAGGAACUGCUGUAUGUGUGCGUUUGUCUCUUAUCAAUCAUGAUUAGAUUUGGGAGUGGAGAUCUUUCCAGGGCAAGAUCUGCGCACAUAUCAGGUGGUGUUGCAGUAUAAAUUACAGGAGGCAGCAGUCCUUUCCAGCUUAUUCUGGACAUCCUACUGAAAGAUUAACAUAAGAAAAGUUUUCCAGGUCUGUGGUGAAUCCUCAGGGGAGGACGCCAUGGAGCCGGGUACAACACUAAUGGAGAGGAGGUGGAGUUGAGAUGCUGCUCCCAAGGGCAGAACAUCUGGUCUGGUGCAACUCAGAGGAGGAACUCUGCAUUUCCUAGAGUCAUCUUCUUUGUUUUGUGCUAGCUGACCAGAUGCACAGACACCAGUCAUGUACUGAAGUGUUAUGCAAAGAGCUGAAUGCGAAAAUGAUGCGUACAGUAUAUGACUGUAUAUGAAAGUUAUGCGAAUAUGCACAUGAACUAUGGAUUACCCCCUUUUUGGUUUCUGUGGGCUUGGUUUCAGUUGGUUGGGGGACCAACAGAUUAAAACCUUCCUGUGAACAUUAAAAUAAAUGUAUGCAGAAAUGUCAUAUGAAACAUCAAAAUAAAAGCGUCUUUAGACAAGUAACUGCUGUAGCAUUCUCUUUACUGUCAAACCGAAACUGAUGAGGAGAGGGAGGAGUUUAUUGAGGAAAUGUUGUAGAGUAUUUAAACGAGAGGAAGCAGAGACUGGUCCUUUCUAUCCUGCAGACUCUCAAGUCUGAGACGGAGCGGAGAUGAUCUGCUUGUAUGCUGUGAUCUAGUGUGCAGUCUGCUGUCACUAGAUGACUGCACACGAGUUGAGACGUCACGCUGCCUAAGGAUCUCUUUCGAUGCUUGCACUUAUUAUUUUAUUUUGAGGAGGAGAGGAGGAGAACCCAACUGCCAAGGGUUUCGGGCACUCGGGUCCGCUGCCCUGUUCUAGUGCAUUCUCUGGCAACACUGGAUCUCUGGCCGGGGUCCAGCGGACCUGCAGUGAACAGCGCCAGGUCUAUGACCCGCUGACGAAGCACCAGGAAACUAGAAGCAACCAAAUCACACAAAAACACAGCCGACACCCUUACCCCAUUUUUCCCUUUGGUCGGCUUCUGGUUGUCUGUUGCUUGGUUGGCAGGCUGUGGGGAUGGCCUGCUAGAAAAACAACCAGUUUUUCAUUUUAUUUUAUGAUGGCUGAGCGCAACUCUUCCCAGAAAAAUCAAUAAAAAUGGAAAAACCUGAAACUGAAA